AGAGAGGUCUGUCUAUUAAUGGAGGGGCUCAGCGCUAGGUUAGCAUGUCAGAGAGGUCUGUCUAUUAAUGGAGGGGCUCAGCGCUAGGUUAGCAUGUCAGAGAGGUCUGUCUAUUAAUGGUGGGGCUCAGCGCUAGGUUAGCAUGUCAGAGAGGUCUGUCUAUUAAUGGUGGGGCUCAGCGCUAGGUUAGCAUGUCAGAGAGGUCUGUCUAUUAAUGGAGGGGCUCAGCGCUAGGUUAGCAUGUCAGAGAGGUCUGUCUAUUAAUGGAAGGGCUCAGCGCUAGGUUAGCAUGUCAGAGAGGUCUGUCUAUUAAUGGAGGGGCUCAGCGCUAGGUUAGCAUGUCAGAGAGGUCUGUCUAUUAAUGGAGGGGCUCAGCGCUAGGUUAGCAUGUCAGAGAGGUCUGUCUAUUAAUGGAGGGGCUCAGCGCUAGGUUAGCAUGUCAGAGAGGUCUGUCUAUUAAUGGAGGGGCUCAGCGCUAGGUUAGCAUGUCAGAGAGGUCUGUCUAUUAAUGGUGGGGCUCAGCGCUAGGUUAGCAUGUCAGAGGUCUGUCUAUUAAUGGAGGGGCUCAGCGCUAGGUUAGCAUGUCAGAGAGGUCUGUCUAUUAAUGGAGGGGCUCAGCGCUAGGUUAGCAUGUCAGAGAGGUCUGUCUAUUAAUGGUGGGGCUCAGCGCUAGGUUAGCAUGUCAGAGGUCUGUCUAUUAAUGGUGGGGCUCAGCGCUAGGUUAGCAUGUCAGAGAGGUCUGUCUAUUAAUGGUGGGGCUCAGCGCUAGGUUAGCAUGUCAGAGAGGUCUGUCUAUUAAUGGUGGGGCUCAGCGCUAGGUUAGCAUGUCAGAGAGGUCUGUCUAUUAAUGGUGGGGCUCAGCGCUAGGUUAGCAUGUCAGAGAGGUCUGUCUAUUAAUGGAGGGGCUCAGCGCUAGGUUAGCAUGUCAGAGAGGUCUGUCUAUUAAUGGAGGGGCUCAGCGCUAGGUUAGCAUGUCAGAGAGGUCUGUCUAUUAAUGGUGGGGCUCAGCGCUAGGUUAGCAUGUCAGAGAGGUCUGUCUAUUAAUGGAGGGGCUCAGCGCUAGGUUAGCAUGUCAGAGAGGUCUGUCUAUUAAUGGUGGGGCUCAGCGCUAGGUUAGCAUGUCAGAGAGGUCUGUCUAUUAAUGGAGGGGCUCAGCGCUAGGUUAGCAUGUCAGAGAGGUCUGUCUAUUAAUGGAGGGGCUCAGCGCUAGGUUAGCAUGUCAGAGAGGUCUGUCUAUUAAUGGUGGGGCUCAGCGCUAGGUUAGCAUGUCAGAGAGGUCUGUCUAUUAAUGGAGGGGCUCAGCGCUAGGUUAGCAUGUCAGAGAGAUC